rnacentral:rRNA from 1 species
CAACUGGGAUUGCCUUAGUAACGGCGAGUGAAGCGGCAAUAGCUCAAAUUUGAAAGCUGGCCCCUUUGGGGUCCGCGUUGUAAUUUGUAGAGGAUGAUUCGGCGAGGGCUCCCGUCUAAGUCCCCUGGAACGGGGCGUCAUAGAGGGUGAGAAUCCCGUAUGUGAUGGGUUGCCUUAGCCAUGUGAAUCUCCUUCGACGAGUCGAGUUGUUUGGGAAUGCAGCUCUAAAUGGGAGGUAAAUUUCUUCUAAAGCUAAAUACCGGCCAGAGACCGAUAGCGCACAAGUAGAGUGAUCGAAAGAUGAAAAGCACUUUGGAAAGAGAGUUAAAAAGUACGUGAAAUUGUUGAAAGGGAAGCGCUUGCAGCCAGACUUGUCCGCAGUUGCUCAGCCGGUCUCCUGACCGGCGUACUCUUCUGCGGCCAGGCCAGCAUCAGUUCGGGCGGUCGGAUAAAGACCUCGGGAAUGUAGCUCCUCUCGGGGAGUGUUAUAGCCCGGGGUGGAAUGCGGCCAGCCUGGACUGAGGAUCUCGCUUCGGCUAGGAUGCUGGCGUAAUGGCUGUAAGCGGCCCGUCUUGAAACACGGACCAAGGAGUCUAACAUCUAUGCGAGUGUUUGGGUGUCAAACCCAUACGCGUAAUGAAAGUGAACGGAGGUGGGAACCCUCACGGGUGCACCAUCGACCGAUCCUGAUGUCUUCGGAUGGAUUUGAGUAAGAGCAUAGCUGUUGGGACCCGAAAGAUGGUGAACUAUGCCUGAAUAGGGUGAAGCCAGAGGAAACUCUGGUGGAGGCUCGCAGCGGUUCUGACGUGCAAAUCGAUCGUCAAAUUUGGGUAUAG